GUGUCAGCAGCCGCGGUAAGACGGAGGAUGCAAGCGUUAUCCGGAAUGAUUGGGCGUAAAGCGUCCGCAGGUGGCAAUUCAAGUCUGCUGUUAAAGCGCAGGGCUUAACUCUGUAAAGGCAGUGGAAACUGAAUAGCUAGAGUGUGGUAGGGGCAGAGGGAAUUCCCAGUGUAGCGGUGAAAUGCGUAGAGAUUGGGAAGAACAUCGGUGGCGAAGGCGCUCUGCUGGACCAUAACUGACACUCACAGGACGAAAGCUAGGGGAGCGAAUGGGAUUAGAUACCCCAGUAGUCCUAGCCGUAAACGAUGGAUACUAGGUGUUGUCUGUAUCGACCCGGACAGUGCCGUAGCUAACGCGUUAAGUAUCCCGCCUGGGGAGUACGAACGCAAGUGUGAAACUCAAAGGAAUUGACGGGG
rnacentral:rRNA from 1 species